UUUUUUCGGGUAGAGGGCCGAACCUCCUA
rnacentral:sRNA from 1 species